GAUGAACGCUAGCGGCAGGCCUAACACAUGCAAGUCGAGGGGCAUCAUGGCGUAGCAAUACGCUGAUGGCGACCGGCGCACGGGUGCGUAACGCGUAUGGAACCUACCCACCGCAGGGGGAUAACCCGCCGAAAGGCGGACUAAUACCCCAUGGUUCCCCGACCCUGCCUGGGGUUGGGGGUAAAGCCUACGGGCGGCGGUGGAUGGCCCUGCGUGCCAUUAGCUGGCUGGUGGGGUAACGGCCCACCAGGGCGACGAUGGCUAGGGGGUCUGAGAGGACGAUCCCCCACACUGGUACUGAGACACGGACCAGACUCCUACGGGAGGCAGCAGUGAGGAAUAUUGGUCAAGUGGGCGGAAGCCUGAACCAGCCACGUCGCGUGAAGGAAGACGGCCCUACGGGUUGUAAACUUCUUUUGUAAGGGAAUAAAGUGUAGUACGCGUACUAUUUUGCAUGUACCUUACGAAUAAGGAUCGGCUAACUCCGUG
rnacentral:rRNA from 1 species